GCGGGUGUGGCGGAAUGGCAGACGCACUAGACUUAGGAUCUAGCGCUUUUAGCGUGCAGGUUCAAGUCCUGUCACCCGUACCA
rnacentral:tRNA from 3 species